rnacentral:misc_RNA from 1 species
GAUGAAGAACGCAGCGAAAUGCGAUAAGUAAUGUGAAUUGCAGAAUUCAGUGAAUCAUCGAAUCUUUGAACGCAUCUUGCGCUCCUUGGUAUUCCGAGGAGCAUGCCUGUUUGAGUGUCAUUUAACUUCUCAACCACAUUGGAUAUUUUUUUUCCGAUGCCGGCUUGGAUGUGGGGGUUGUUUGCAGGCUUUUUGUAACAAAAAAGGUCGGCUCCCCUGAAAUGUAUUAGUGGUAUCUGAGGCUAUUACUAUUAGGUGUGAUAAUUAUCUAUGCCUUUUGGGUAUGCCGCAUGAACAGAUUAUGCUGCUUCUAACGAAAACUAUUUUGAUGAAUUUGACCUCAAAUCAGGUAGGACUACCCGUUGAACUUAAGCAUAUCAAUAAGCGGAGGA